UGGUUGCUCAGGAAAAGAAUUUUAGUUCUUUCUUAAAAAUCAUUAAGCACCAUUAAGCACCUAAUUUUUAAGAACUAUUCAAUAAGGGUACAGCCUUAUUGAAAAAGGACACAACCUAAACUUCAGGGUAAUGAUUAAACUCUUUAAGGUAAAAGGCUAAGUUGGCUUAAAAGCAGCCACCUUUUAGAAAGCGUCAAAGCUUCACCUUCCCACCUCCUUUUAUUUAAUUAAUUUCUCAAAACCCGUUAAUACUACUGAGCUGUUCUAUAAUAAUAUAGAAGUAUUUAUGUUAGGACUAGUAACACAGAAUUAUUUCUCUUAUAUGUGAGCGUACAUCAGCCUGAAUACACCACUGAUAAUUACCCAGUUUUGAGCAUAAAGUAAUAUUGACAUUCCAUGAUAACAUUACUUAGGCCACUGUUAACCUUACACAAGAACAUAAAAGAAAGAUAAAAAGUUUAAGAAGGAACUCGGCAAACACAAAUCCCGCCUGUUUACCAAAAACAUCGCCUUUUGAAUUAUAUAAAAGGUAACGCCUGCCCAGUGACAUCAUGUUCAACGGCCGCGGUAUUCUGACCGUGCGAAGGUAGCGUAAUCACUUGUCUUUUAAAUAAAGACUAGUAUGAAUGGCAUCACGAGGAUUUAGCUGUCUCCUUAGACUCAUCAGUGAAACUGAUCUCCCCGUGCAAAAGCGGGGAUAGACACAUAAGACGAGAAGACCCUAUGGAGCUUAAAACUAACAGCUGCCUAUACCAUCUGCUGAUAUAAACAGCACUAUAAUAAUAGAUCCAGCCUACGUUUUCAGUUGGGGUGACUAUGGAGAAAAACUGAUCCUCCAUGAAGAAACAAGCCUUGAGUUUUUACUCUACGCAUUAGCAAGCCUAACUUUAUUUGAUCCAAUAUAUUUGAUCAACAGACCAAGUUACCCUAGGGAUAACAGCGCAAUCCAUUUCAAGAGUCCUUAUCGACAAAUGGGUUUACGACCUCGAUGUUGGAUUAGGACACCCCAGUGGUGCAGCCGCUACUAACGGUUCGUUUGUUCAACGAUUAAAGUCCU
rnacentral:rRNA from 1 species